rnacentral:rRNA from 1 species
GACGUAGGGCGCGAGCGUUGUCCGGAUUUAUUGGGCGUAAAGAGCUCGUAGGCGGCUUGUCGCGUCGACUGUGAAAUCCCGCGGCUCAACUGCGGGUCUGCAGUCGAUACGGGCAGGCGUAGAGUUCGGUAGGGGAGACUGGAAUUCCUGGUGUAGCGGUGAAAUGCGCAGAUAUCAGGAGGAACACCGAUGGCGAAGGCAGGUCUCUGGGCCGAUACUGACGCUGAGGAGCGAAAGCGUGGGGAGCGAACAGG